GUGGGCGUAGUUCAGCUGGUUAGAGCGCCAGAUUGUGGAUCUGGAGGUCGUGGGUUCGAACCCCACCUCCCACCCCA
rnacentral:tRNA from 1 species